GCUUACGGCCAUACCAGCCCAAGAACGCCCCGGUCUCGUCUGAUCUCGGAAGCUAAGAAGGCUUGGGCCUAGUUAGUACUUGGAUGGGAGACCUCCUGGGAUACCAGGUGCUUUAACUG
ensembl:rRNA 5S_rRNA 5S ribosomal RNA